UUCCCAGACUCCUACGGGAGGCAGCAGUGAGGAAUAUUGGUCAAUGGUCGGGAGACUGAACCAGCCAAGCCGCGUGAGGGAGGAAGGUACAGAGUAUCGUAAACCUCUUUUGUCAGGGAACAAAGACUGGGACGCGUCCCCGGAUGAGUGUACCUGAAGAAAAAGCAUCGGCUAACUCCGUGCCAGCAGCCGCGGUAAUACGGAGGAUGCGAGCGUUAUCCGGAUUUAUUGGGUUUAAAGGGUGCGCAGGCGGUCUGUUAAGUCAGCGGUCAAAGCCCGGGGCUCAACCCCGUACUGCCGUUGAAACUGCAUCCCUUGAGUGCGCGAGAAGUAUGCGGAAUGCGUGGUGUAGCGGUGAAAUGCAUAGAUAUCACGCAGAACUCCGAUUGCGAAGGCAGCAUACCGGCGCGCAACUGACGCUCAUGCACGAAAGCGUGGGUAUCGAACAGGAUUAGAUACCCCAGUA
rnacentral:rRNA from 1 species